GUCUACGGCCAUACCACCCUGAACGCGCCCGAUCUCGUCUGAUCUCGGAAGCUAAGCAGGGUCGGGUCUGGUUAGUACUUGGAUGGAAGAAACAAGCAUGGUCUCCA
rnacentral:rRNA from 1 species